rnacentral:misc_RNA from 1 species
UGCCAUCAUCCACAAACUUAUAGAUGUGAAUGAACCCAGCAACUAAACUUCUUUUGGGCCAAAACUGGAGUCCCUUGGCAGUACCAACAGCUAAAAGAGUUCCAUGCUCCUUGUCAUGGAAGUUAACAGUGCAGACACUAAAUGCAGCUUCAUUGUCCUGAAGCUCCAGCAGACAAGUUGUGGAUGCUGUCCUUGGGUCAAGAAUUCUGAUGCAUGAAACCCACUUUUCUGAUUCUGCCUUUGGAUAACCAUACUGCUCAUCAGAGAG